rnacentral:lncRNA from 1 species
GCGCAUCUGUACAUGGAUAAGGAAAUGGGCUUUCUGCUCUCACGCCCGAUUUGGGGUGUGUGAGGCAUCCAAAAGCCUCCUGUCGGGAAACAGCGGCCUUAUUGUGUGCCUGACUGAGGUUUCAACUUGCAGGCAACUGAGGAUCCAUUCAGCUGGGCAACUUGGACUUGGCUGGUCUUUCGACUUGUGCCUCCUCGCAGUCCCUGGUGAUUUAGAGCUGCUUUAGAGCUGCGUGGAUGUUCCUCGUCAAGCCC